AAUUCUCAACCUUAUCCUGCUUUUAUAAGCUGUGGAUCAGGCUUUGGACUGUGGGAGCUGCUGGUCUUUUGAGAUUGGCUCUUCUUAAAUGCAUUAGCAGAAUUCUUUGUGCUGGACUGUCAUUGGUAUGAUAACUAUCUAUGCCAUUGAGGGGCAGCCAUCUCUCCACUUCAGGGCUCCACUUGGAUGAAUUAUCUUCAAGUGUUCGAUUUCAACCGAUCUGAAGCACCAGCUUAGGCACAGAUGUGAACUCAUUUGAUGGUGUUGAAUACUUUCAGGUUGACGAAGCGAGGUGUUUCCCAAGGGAGCACUCACGAGAGCAAGCAGCAGUCAGAGUCAAUCUGAAUGUGUGCAAUGUCAUAUUCCUGCAUCUACCCUAGCUACUAUGUGGCUUUGAUGGGUCUGGUCAAAACCAUGACCUGAACAUAAUGGAGAGAGAGGGUGUUUUUGCUUUUUAACCUUAGGAUUUAAGU
rnacentral:misc_RNA from 1 species